rnacentral:rRNA from 1 species
AUUGAACGCUGGCGGCAGGCCUAACACAUGCAAGUCGAGCGAGCGGCGGACGGGUGAGUAAUGUAUGGGGACUGCCCGAUAGAGGGGGAUAACUACUGGAAACGGUAGCUAAUACCGCAUACGAUCGGAUAACCCAUAUUGGAUUAGCUAGUAGGUGAGGUAAUGGCUCACCUAGGCGACGAUCCCUAGCUGUGCUGAGAGGAUGAUCAGCCACACUGGGACUGAGACACGGCCCAGACUCCUACGGAGGCAGCAGUGGGGAAGAUUGCACAAUGGGCGAAAGCCUGAUGCAGCCAGGCCGCGUGUAUGAAGAAGGCCCUAGGGUUGUAAAGUACUUUCAGUCGGGAGGCGUUACCGACAGAAGAAGCACCGGCUAACUCCGUGCUAGCCGCCGCGGUAAUAC